rnacentral:rRNA from 1 species
AUUGAACGCUGGCGGCAUGCCUUACACAUGCAAGUCGAACGGCAGCACGGGAGCAAUCCUGGUGGCGAGUGGCGAACGGGUGAGUAAUAUAUCGGAACGUGCCCAGUCGUGGGGGAUAACGCAGCGAAAGCUGUGCUAAUACCGCAUACGAUCUAAGGAUGAAAGCGGGGGAUCGCAAGACCUCGCGCGAUUGGAGCGGCCGAUAUCAGAUUAGCUAGUUGGUGGGGUAAAGGCCCACCAAGGCGACGAUCUGUAGCUGGUCUGAGAGGCCGACCAGCCACACUGGAACUGAGACACGGUCCAGACUCCUACGGGAGGCAGCAGUGGGGAAUUUUGGACAGUGGGCGCAAGCCUGAUCCAGCAAUGCCGCGUGCAGGAUGAAGGCCUUCGGGUUGUAAACUGCUUUUGUACGGAACGAAACGGCCCUUUCUAAUACAGGGGGCUAAUGACGGUACCGUAAGAAUAAGCACCGGCUAACUACGUGCCAGCAGCCGCCGUAACAC